UUGAGUGCAGGAUAGAAAUAGUAGUGAACUUAAUGAAGUCCAUGAGUUCUGCAAGGGUGCAGGAGGUAGCUCUGAUGCUAUAAUAGUAGUUCAUUCUAUAUGCCCACAAUCUUCUAAGUGAAAAGGGUUUGCCUUAGCCAGGCUCCAUUAAACUCUCAAAUUCAUUUAUUUCUGCAGAACAAAGUGGAUUCUGGAAACUAGAAGCAUUAACAGAAAAUGCAUUGUCGGGUUACAACACCAUCGGAAUAUUCAAAGAGAAUUCCCUCUGCAACAACUUGGUCAACCUAGUUGUUGCUGAUACCAAAUUCCCUUCUUGGAAGCUAAUCAGUAUGUCACCUUUAGAAUUUUGUAUGUCUCUGUGAAAUUACCAUUUAUUCUUCUAAUUGAAAAACCUGCUCAAUUGCAACAAAAUAUAUUUAUUUUUGUAGUUAAAUUCCUAUAGAAUGAUAAUUUGCUAAAUUAAGGUAAUCAAGAUCUCCACAUCUCUUAUGUUUUAGUUUGGUUUAGAAAUACCACCAAGACCACGCCAACUACCAAUCACCCUUUCAAACUAGAUUUGUUUUCCCACUUUCACAUCCACUCCUACACAUUGAGGUCCAUUUUACCGAAGCCAAUUAACUUACAAACCUGCACAUCUUUGAGAUGUGGGAGAAAACCGGAGCACCCAAAGGAAACUUACGCAGUCACACGCAGAAAGUGCAAAUUUCACACAGACAGUACCUAUGGUCAGGAUCAAACCCGGGUCCUUUGGUGGUCCAAGGCAGCAGCUCUACUAGCUCCACCAUAGUGCUG